UACGAGAGGCCCAAACGUUAUUCGGAAUUACUGGGCUUAAAGAGUUCGUAGGCGGCGCAGAAAGUAGGGUGUGAAAGCCCUCGGCUCAACCGAGGAAUUGCGCUCUAAACUACUGUGCUUGAGGAACCUAGAGGUGAGCAGAACUGAUGGUGGAGCGGUGAAAUGCGUUGAUAUCAAGUGGAACACCAGUGGCGAAGGCGAGUCCCUGGACAACUCCUGACACUGAGGCACGAAAGCUAGGGGAGCAAACAGG
rnacentral:rRNA from 1 species